GGUGGUAUAGCCAAGUGGUAAGGCGUGGGUCUGCAAAACCUUGAUCGUCGGUUCGAAUCCGACUACCACCU
rnacentral:tRNA from 2 species